rnacentral:rRNA from 1 species
AUGGCGUUUUUCGGCUAUGACCCAUACGAGUACUACUACCUGCUUCUCCCUACGGCUACGGACGCCGAGCCGUUGGUGACGGAGCGGCUCCGUCCCGCCCGCCGGAGGGCCCCGGUGCGGCGCGAUGACGGCUUAUUCGGCGCCACCGAACCGGCCGCACGGACAACGGCGAGUCCAAGGCCCAGCAGGGGGUCCCCGAGGAGCUGUCCGGAUUGUUUUGAGAUUGAGGUCACCGGGCCGGACUCUGACUCGCCGCGGGCUGUGCCGAGGAAGCCGGCGCCAUCGGCGGAGGAGGCCGCGGUGAGGGUGCAGGCGGCGGCACGCGGGCUGCUCGAUCGUCGGAUGGUGCGGGAGGUGCGCGCGGUGGAGCGACUGGCGGAGGCCGUGGCCGCGAGGGUGGCCGCCGAGGCGGGGGUGCUCCGCGUGGAUGCGCGUGCGCGGAUCGGUCUCGUGGAGGAGCUCAUGCGGCUGCUGCUGCGACUGGACAGUGUCCGCGGCGCCCGGGAGUACCGCAGGCGGGUCGCCAGGCAGGUGCUCGCGCUCCAGGACGCUGUCGACGCGCUUGAGGCCGCGCCCGCGGUGGUGACCAUCGAUGAGCCGGAAGUUCAGGAUGCGGAGGAAGAAGCAGAGAGCAGGAUGGAGCCGGAGCUGCCGGUUGAGGACAACGCUACGGCGGAUUCUCUGGCUGCCGAGACAACCAACACGGCCGCGAUGGAGGUUGACGCGACGAGUUUCGUCGAUGACGACGAGGCCGGCCAGACCAAGACCGAGCUGGUGGUGGAAGUGGAAAAGGCCUCGGAGGCGGAGGGCGAGUGGGAGAUGGUGGCAACGGGGGACAUCAAUGUGUCAACCGGCGAGGUGGACCCUACACCGCCCAAGGCGCUGCAGCAGCAGCAAGAACAAGCACAGGAGGAGAAGAAGAUGGUGACCCCCGACGGGCUGGACGCAAAGAAAUUGAUGGAGAUGGUGGCAGCGUUGUGCGAGCGGAGCGCGCAACAGUGCGCCGUCAUCGAGGCCCUGGCGGAGCGGGUGGACACGCUGGAGCGCGCCAUUCGGCGGGUGGAGGAGGCCGACCGGCGCAAGCGGAGGAACAAGAAGACCAACAAAGACGGCAAGAAGAACACAAGUAGCUUCUACAGCGACUAG